rfam:Ciona savignyi cont_33117, whole genome shotgun sequence.
CGCCAUGGCUUAGUGGUAAAGCGUCUGUCUUGUAAACAGGAGAUCCUGGGUUCGAUCCCCAGUGGUG